AUUCAAUUAUAAAAGUUUCAAGUUUUGUCUAUCAAUUCAUGAUUACAAUAUGUUAGUGGAGGUAUGUAGGGUCGCAAUGAUGGAAUGAAGGAGAGAAAGGAAAGUGGUUAUAGGGUCCUUUAAAUACCUGCAUGAAUAAUGUUAUUAUUCAAGUCCGAUCCCUACCAUCAUAACCAAUUGUGUGCCAUGGCCCUCCAUUAUUCAAAAUGGUGUUUCCCAACAUCUUUCAAAAAGCCUCAUUAUGUUGCAACAACAAAGGCACAUCUUUCUCAUGCUAACCAAUGGAACAUUCUUCAGCAAAACCCAAGAACUGUUUUUCAGGAUGAUAUAAGCAUUAAUCAUGCAGAGAAACUGAUGGAACUGAAGCAUGCACUACUUAGUGAAAAUAAUAAUUCACUGCAAGGAAUGCAAAUGAUUGAUGCAAUGCAGCGUCUAAAUGUUGAUUACCACUUUCAAGAGGAAAUUCAUUCAUUCUUACAGAGGGACUAUGUCGUCAUUUCCACCACUUUUGGUCAUGGGGGUGCCUUUGCCCAACAUCAUCUUCAUCACCUUGCUCUCUCCUUUCGUCUCUUCAGACAACAAGGUCACUUUGUGCCUCCAGAGGUGUUUGAAAAGUUCAGAGACAAGGAAGGAAAAUUCAGGCAAGAACUAUUAGUAGGAGGAGGAGGAGACAUCGUGAAGGGAAUGAUGGAAUUGUAUGAAGCCUCACAAAUAAGCAUUAAGGGAGAAGACAUGCUAGAUGAAGCUGGAGAAUUCAGUUGCAAGUUCUUGAAGGAAAGGUUGGCUUACCUUGACAAUGAUGAUGAUGAAGGCAAGUUUGUGAGGAGCACUAUUGGAAAUCCUUUCCACAAAAGCUUGCCAAUGUUCACUGCCAGAGAUUUCUUAAGAAACUUUCAUGGUGGCAUGAAUAGUAAUAAUAAUAAUAAUGAAUGGUUUGGUUCCUUAAAAGCACUUGCAAAGAUGGAUUUCACUUUGUUGCAACGCUUACACCAGCAGGAAAUCAUUCAAAUCUCUAAAUGGUGGACAAAACUUGGUUUAGCCAAUGAGUUACAGUAUGCAAGAAAUCAACCAUUGAAAUGGUACAUUUGGUCGUUGGCAUGCCUCUCAGAUCCUAAUUUCUCAGAAGAGAGGAUUGAUCUAACUAAAUCAAUCUCUUUCAUAUACAUAAUAGAUGACAUUUUCGAUGUGUAUGGGACUUUAGAUGAACUCACUCUUUUCACUGAUGCUGUUUCUAGAUGGGAUGUUACAGUUGCUGAUGAGUUACCAGAUUACAUGAGAAUAUGCUUUAGGAUCCUCUACGAUCUUACUAAUGAAAUCAGCUUCAAGAUCUAUCAAAAACAUGGAUGGGACGUCAACAAUUUUCUUAGAAACGCAUGGAAGAGAUUGUGCAAAGCCUUCUUAGUUGAAGCAAAAUGGUUUGCUUCAGGGAAGAGUCCAAGUUCCGAAGAGUACUUGAACAAUGGAAUAAUAAGCUCUGGGGUGCAUAUUGUGCUGGUUCACAUUUUCUUUAUGUUGGGUGAAGGAUUGAGCAGUGAAAAUGUUAAAAUCAUAGACGGAAUCCCAGAUAUAAUUUCUUCUUCGGCAACUAUUCUUCGCCUUUGGGAUGAUUUGGGAAAUGCUGAGGAUGAGAAUCAAGAGGGCAAUGAUGGGUCAUACGUGGAUUGUUUAUUGAUGGAACAGAAAGGGUUGGCAAGGAAAGAAGCAAGAGAGGAAGUUAUGAAUAUGAUCAAUGAUGCAUGGAAGAGGCUCAACCAAGAGUGCUUCUUUGAGAACACAUUCCCUAAGCCAUUCACUAAGGCCUCUCUCAAUCUUGCAAGGAUGGUUCCUUUGAUGUAUAAUUAUGACAACCACCACUCCCUUCCCAUGCUUGAGCCUCAAAUUUGCUCGUUCUUCUUCUCGCGAAGCUUUCUCUGGUUUCUUCGAUCGUUCUUUUUCUCUCCUUUCUCACUCGUUUCUUCUUCGUCAUUUACCCUCUCUCUGUUGUUGAUGACCAGUUUGUUUCCAAGGUUGGAAUGACCUUUAUCACCCUUGAAGAUGCUGAAAAAGUUUACAGGAACUACGCCAAGACUACAGGGUUUUCUACAAGAGUUCGGAGCACAAAUAGGAAGGAAAACGAGAUUAAGAACCAAUUGAUUACAUGUAGCAGAGAGGAAAAAUGGAAAUCUAAAAUAUCUCAAACAGCACAGGGAACUAAGCAUGUCCAUUCGUCGUACAAUAGAGAAUAACGAGGAGGCUGGUAUUAGACUAAGCAAAACUUACCAAUCAUUUGUUGCGGCUGCCGGGGGUCAUCGCGAGUUAAAUUUUAUUGAAAAGGAUGUGAGGAAUUACAUUACGAGAGAAGUGCGAGAAGCGUGGGUGUGCUUAAAGACUCGUUUGAUAGGAAUUGAAAUGAUUUUCUACUGAAUUUUGGUCUUGUGGACAACAAGUGGCUUUCAGAUCUCUAUGAAGACCGUCAUAUAUGGGUUCCAAUCUAUCUGGAUCACCAUUUCUUGACAGGGAUGAGAAGCACACAAAUGAGCGAGAGCAUGCAUUCUUUUGGGUGUAAAAGUAGUGUUCUUUUGGGUGUAUUUCUGAAUUUUCUUGUAUGUCACAUUUUACAUAUAUAUACAUAUAUAUACUUCAGAAUCUUGUUUUUAUGUUAUAAAAUACUGUUUUUUUUACAACGGUUUAAGGGUUUUAGGUAUUAAGGUUUAGGGUUUUAGGGUUUACGAUUUAGGUUUUAGGGUUUACGGGUUAGGGGUUAGGGUUUAGGUUUUAAGUGUUUAGGGUUCAGGAUUUUAGGGAUAAAGCAUCAGGGGAAUAGAUUUUUUGGUGUAUAUUCAACUUUCUUUGGGUGUAAAAAAUGGCAGGUUAUGGGUGUAUAUUUGGUUUGAUAUUUUUCUUCAUAUUAUAGUACCUG